CUUUAGACACCACAAAUUCACUCAAAAUCAAGGAGUGCAGAAGGAAAUGAGAGGAGCAAGAAGGCGAGGAGAGGCAGCGGCAAAGCGGAGGAACAGCCGCAUAAACCGAGGAUGAACCGAGUGAGGCUAUCUCUGCGAGUAAAGGCGGAGUGAGGAAAGAAAAUCAAUUUAAGGAGUUUGAAGCGAACGAGAUUGAGCAGUGAUGACGGCGGGCGGUGUUGAGCAUAGACGAUGAAGAUCCUUCGAUAGAAUAGUACUUGGAUGCGUCGUGUCUCCAUACACGAUGUCAUCUGCUCUUGACUCUUCCGCUGCAAUGUAAAAGUCGAGAUUUCAUUCUCUUGUACCAUGCACUCUGAUUUUUAUAUAUUCCAAGUUAUUUCAGUUCAA